GGAGCUAUUUCUGCUGUCAAGAUUUGCUCUGAUGGAAUAUGGGUAUAAAUAUCCCUCCAACCUAAGACCGCCACAGUGACUUGCAAGCAACUCACUACACUUAGGCACUGGACUACCUGAAUUUCUAAUUCAGUGACGGAAGGCUGCUGGGUGUAGUCAAGUACUUGACUUGUUGGUGCGUGUGUCAAGAUGAGAUUGACCACUCUAGUUUAGGAGCUGUGUACAAUCAUGUUUUAAUUUAGCAAAACUUUGGCCAGAGUAGUCUUUGUGAGGAGUCACAGGACUG
rnacentral:lncRNA from 1 species